UACGCGGCUUUUCGAAAUAUUCCGGCAAAAUAUCGGCGGGGACACCAGAAAUGUGCCUCACACAUGGAACCCAUUUAAGGAAUCAAACCCUGGUCUUCGGCGUG